AAAAAUAUUAGUAGUUGUGUCUUUUUUUAUAUAUAUUUUUUCUUUUUGGUCAAAGCUUUUGUUUGGUUGUAUAUGUUGAUCUUGAUGAGAUUCUAAUGAAUCUUGUAAAAACCUAAUUGUCUUGUAUAUUAAAAAUACCCUUCUACUUUCUUUCUUUAAAGAACUUUACUUCACACAAAAAGAAUGGUAAAAAUCUAGUAAAAGAACAACAAGAAUUUGGUAUUAUUCUUCAAGAAACAAAUGAAGAAACUAUUGCAUUCAUAAUUCAUAGUUUCUACAUUUAAUCUUAUUCAAAACUCUUACAUAACUAUACAACAUCUAUGAUUGUUAUCUUGAUUUGCCUCAAAGAAUUGAUUAUCAGGAUACGGAUGCGGCCAUCCCAACCAUAUCAUUGGCCAUGACACAGGUUGGGGUUGGGGUUGUGGUAGCAUUAAUUGCCAAUGAUAUGGCUUCACAUUGAACAUUUGUUACGGUCUUGCACUAAUAAUCGAUCGAUCUACUGUAAUGAUGAAGCUACGUACCAAACAAGUGAUUGAUAUUUGGUGCAGCUUCUUAUUUGCGUGACUGGACAAAUUUGGCUGCAACUCAUGAUAAUCUCACCAAUUCAAUAAGUCUAACUUAUCCCUAUAUAUUUUUGUCUGAUUCUUUUAUUGUUUUCCAUUACCUGAAUUAUCAAUUCCUAGCUUUUAAUUCUUGUCAUUAAGAGCUUUCUAAGAGCUAUGGUCUACAAACUUUUUUUUUUUUGUUUACUUGUGAAUUGAUUUGCAUGCAAAAUCUUAUUUGGUAAGUUGAGUAAUUUGGGAGAAUUGGAUUAGUUUUUAUUGAUAUUAGUUUAAAUGACUUCAAAGUUAUACUUUUAUUGAUUCUCGUUUUGUUUAUGGUUUGAGUAAUUGUACUACCUGGACAAUCCUUCUUUGUAAUAUUACAACAAUCACUACUUUUGUCACAAUUGUAGAGAUUCUUAAGAAUAAUGGGCUAGCUAGGUAAAAGAAAAUAAAGGAGAAGGAUUCUUCUGCUUCAUCUCCCAACAAGCACAAGAUGAAAUCCUAUUUCUGGCUUUCUUUCAGAGCCAACUGACAACGAGAGCAGGACACCACCUCCACCAGCAGUGAGUGAGGAAGAAAGGAGCUAAAUAAGUUAAGGGUUGAAAAUGUAUAAUUUCCGCUAUUUAUAUUGAAUAGGAAAAAAAUUACCUGAUUAUGUAACAUAAUCUCCUUUUGUUGAAAUAUUUUAAAUUUAUUACAAUUCAUCAACUUAAUAUUGAUUUCCACAAGAGAAGAGUGUUA